rnacentral:ribozyme from 1 species
AAAAGGGCAGAACGAAAGAAAAUUCAAGAAAGAAAAGGCACGACAAGCACCCUCAGCUCAUCCUCCUCCUUUCCAUUUCAAUCUUUCCUCUUUUUCUUUUUCUGAUUUCCUUCUG